GUUUCCGUGGUGUAGUGGUUAUCACAUCCGCCUAACACGCGGAAGGUCAUGAGUUCAAUCCUCGGCGGAAACA
rnacentral:tRNA from 1 species